rnacentral:rRNA from 1 species
AGUGGACGCUGGCGGUAGGCCUAACACAUGCAAGUCGAACGGCAGCACAGUAAGAGCUUGCUCUUACGGGUGGCGAGUGGCGUACGGGUGAGGAAUACAUCGGAAUCUACUUUUUCGUGGGGGAUAACGUAGGGAAACUUACGCUAAUACCGCAUACGACCUACGGGUGAAAGCAGGGGAUCUUCGGACCUUGCGCGAUUGAAUGAGCCGAUGUCGGAUUAGCUAGUUGGCGGGGUAAAGGCCCACCAAGGCGACGAUCCGUAGCUGGUCUGAGAGGAUGAUCAGCCACACUGGAACUGAGACACGGUCCAGACUCCUACGGGAGGCAGCAGUGGGGAAUAUUGGACAAUGGGCGCAAGCCUGAUCCAGCCAUACCGCGUGGGUGAAGAAGGCCUUCGGGUUGUAAAGCCCUUUUGUUGGGAAAGAAAAGCAGCAGGUUAAUACCCCGCUGUUCUGACGGUACCCAAAGAAUAAGCACCGGCUAACUUCGUG